GAGAGAGAGAGAGAGAGAGAGAGAGAGAGAGAGAGAGAGAGAGAGAGAGAGAGAAGGAGAGUGUGAGAGAAAGAGAGAGAAAGAGAGUUAAAACCAUUACAUUAUCCGUCUUAGUCUUGGCUCCCAGUCUGAGGUAUAGAGGGCGGGGUGCAGGUGUUUCCAGAUCUCUGAUUGGUGGAUCUUCUCUAUUCUUCUUCCUUCCUCUCUCCAGUCCCCUCUCCCCUCCCAUCUCCUCCCCAAGGCCCCCCACUCAAGGCCUCUCUCAGGUCCUCAGACCACAAACAGCCAAUCAGAGCACAGAAGAAGACUGAAGACCUAAACAAAGAGUGGAUUGUACGCUCCUGACCCGACCCUUUGGUCCCCUACAGACCUCCUGGUCAUCUGGUCCCCUCAAGACCCUCCACAGACCCCCUACAGACCUCCUGGUCAUCUGACCCUCUACAGACUCCCUACAGACCUCCUGGUCAUCUGGUCCCCUACAGACCCUACUGACCCUACAGACCCUACUGACCCUACUGACCCUACAGACCCCUACUAACCCUACUGACCCUACUGACCCUACUGACCCCACUGACCCUAUUGACCCUACUGACCCUACUGACCCUACUGACCCCACUGACCCUACUGACCCUACAGACCCUACUGACCCCUACUAACCCCACUGACCCUACUGACCCCACUGACCCUACUGACCCUACAGACCCUACUGACCCCUACUGACCCCACUGACUCUACUGACCCCCUACAGACCCUACAGACCCUACUGACCCUACAGACCCUACAGACCCUACCGGUCCUGUCCCGGGCCUGAGGGAGAUCCCCGCGGUGGAUUCUGGUGACCUCACCAGUGUCUUCAUUCUGUGGCGGCCAGGCGGCCUGCAGAGCGUUCUCCAUGAGGAGCAGUGGAAGAUGCCGGCUCUGCCAGCACUGCUGCUGUCGAUCACUGUCCUGGCCCUGCUGCUGACCCCGGCCGCCUGCUCACCAAGCCCCGCCCACACACUGGUCGCCGUGCGCAUGGGUGAGUCACAGUAGGCCACGCCUCCCAACAAUAGGCCACGCCUCUCCUUGGUUAGCCCCGCCUCCCCCCCUGGUGUUCUUGUGUGUGUUGAUGGCUCAAUUGAAAACAAUCAUUUAAAGUAUAGAAUGAGAGUUUGCAGAAAAGACGAGUGUGGAGAAACAAGUUAGCAUCAAGAUGACGUGAGGGGUCAGGGAUACACACACACACACAUACACACACACAGACACACAGACACACACACACACACAAACAAACACACACACACACACACACACACACACACACACACACACACACACACACACACACACACACACA
ensembl:lncRNA